rnacentral:rRNA from 1 species
AGUUUGAUCCUGGCUCAGGAUGAACGCUGGCGGCGUGCCUAACACAUGCAAGUCGAGCGUGAACCCUUAGAAUGAAACUUCGGUCGAAUGAAGAGGGGGAAAGCGGCGGACGGGUGAGUAACGCGUAGGCAACCUGCCCCGUACAGAGGGAUAGCCUCGGGAAACCGGGAUUAAAACCUCAUAACACCAUGGUAUCACAUGAUGCAAUGGUCAAAGAUUUAUCGGUAUGGGAUGGGCCUGCGUCUGAUUAGCUGGUUGGUGGGGUAACGGCCUACCAAGGCAACGAUCAGUAGCCGACCUGAGAGGGUAAUCGGCCACAUUGGAACUGAGACACGGUCCAAACUCCUACGGGAGGCAGCAGUGGGGAAUAUUGCACAAUGGGCGAAAGCCUGAUGCAGCAACGCCGCGUGAGCGAAGAAGGCCUUUGGGUCGUAAAGCUCUGUCGGGAAGGAAGAUAAUGACGGUACUUCCCGAGGAAGCCCCGGCUAACUACGUGCCAGCAGCCGCGGUAAUACGUAGGGGGCGAGCGUUAUCCGGAAUUAUUGGGCGUAAAGAGUGCGUAGGUGGUUGUUUAAGCGUGGGGUGAAAGGCAAUGGCUUAACCAUUGUGAGCCUCGCGAACUGGGCGACUUGAGUGCAGGAGAGGAAAGCGGAAUUCCUAGUGUAGCGGUGAAAUGCGUAGAUAUUAGGAGGAACACCAGUGGCGAAGGCGGCUUUCUGGACUGUAACUGACACUGAGGCACGAAAGCGUGGGGAGCAAACAGGAUUAGAUACCCUGGUAGUCCACGCCGUAAACG